rnacentral:miRNA from 1 species
ACUGCCUAGCCUACAGAACCAUGAGAAAUAAGCACCUGGGCUGGAGAGAUGGCUCAGCCGUUAAAGGCUAGGCUCACAACCAAAAAUAUA